GAUGAACGCUGGCGGCGUGCCUAAUACAUGCAAGUCGAGCGAACGGACGAGAAGCUUGCUUCUCUGAUGUUAGCGGCGGACGGGUGAGUAACACGUGGAUAACCUACCUAUAAGACUGGGAUAACUUCGGGAAACCGUAGCUAAUACCGGAUAAUAUUUUGAACCGCAUGGUUCAAAAGUGAAAGACGGUCUUGCUGUCACUUAUGGAUGGAUCCGCGCUGCAUUAGCUAGUUGGUAAGGUAACGGCUUACCAAGGCAACGAUGCAUAGCCGACCUGAGAGGGUGAUCGGCCACACUGGAACUGAGACACGGUCCAGACUCCUACGGGAGGCAGCAGUAGGGAAUCUUCCGCAAUGGGCGAAAGCCUGACGGAGCAACGCCGCGUGAGUGAUGAAGGUCUUCGGAUCGUAAAACUCUGUUAUUAGGGAAGAACAUAUGUUUAAGUAACUGUGCACAUCUUGACGGUACCUAAUCAGAAAGCCACGGCUAACUACGUG
rnacentral:rRNA from 1 species